rnacentral:lncRNA from 1 species
GGGAAUUAGGUGCAAGGGCCUGAGAAGGACGCACCAAGUAGAGGCUGCGGAGCAGCCUGGCAGGAGGGAAGGAAGGGCAGGUGGGCGUGGGGGUGCCAGGUGGAAGGCGUAGAGGGCAGGAUGUCCUUGGACGUCGCAGAGCCCAAGGAGGUGAGGACAGGGCUGAGGGCGGGGACCUGGAACCCUAGAUGACCGAGGCAGACUUUGGGGGCGGGGUGCCUCUCGAAGGCUCAGAGCUCUUUGCCCGGUCGGA